GACGGAGGGUGCAAGCGUUGUUCGGAUUGACUGGGCGUAAAGGGCGUGUAGGCGGUCGGCCAAGUCUGAUGUGAAAGCCCGAGGCUCAGCCUCGGAAGUGCGUCGGAAACUAGUCGGCUGGAGCGCGAUAGAGGAGGGUGGAAUUCCUGGUGUAGCGGUGAAAUGCGUAGAUAUCAGGAGGAACACCGGCGGCGAAGGCGGCUACCUGGACCGGUUCUGACGCUGAGGCGCGAAAGCGUGGGUAGCAAACAGG
rnacentral:rRNA from 1 species